CCCUCUAGGUUGGUUAGCAGGACCCCUGUCCCCCCCCCCCCUCUAGUUUGGUUAACAGCACCUCCUGUGUAUAUCCCCCCUCUAGGUUGGUUAACAGGACCUCCUGUGUAUAUCCCCCCUCUAGGUUGGUUAACAGGACCUCCUGUGUACGUCCUCCCUCUUCGUUAAAGGGUCUCCUGUAUGUUCUCUCUCAAGCUUUGACACCCACUAGAAUAGAGAACCAACUCUCCUGGAGAUCUACUGGGUAUUGUAGGCUUUUGCUCCAGCCCUGCACUAGAUUCACACACCUGAUACAGCCAACCAGGGUCCUGAGGGGCAGAUCAUUAGUAGAAUCAGGUGUUUUAUAGUAGGGCUGGAACACAACCCUGCGUGCGGUAAGCUGCUGUUCCCCAGACAGCUCUAGAACCCAGGGAAUGUACUAAACCUGAGGGACUGGAUGGUUGUGUUGCGCUAGCAGGGUCAUGGUUGUGAAGUGGUUCACAGCUGGAUUUGUGUUACGGAAAGGGUUUCAAGCUUUUGCUGGUGUGUGUGUGUGUGAGGAUGUUUGUGUACAUGAGUUAGUGUGUGUGUUGUAAUUCCCUCAGUGUGGGGUGUUGAUCCUCUGCACCUCCCGUGGAGGUUCUUAAACAUGGCGUCUCCUGGGGUCAUCCUGGGCUGAGUCCCAAAUAGCACCCUAUUCUAUAUAUAGUGUACUACUUUUGACCAGCGCCAUAAACGGCCCUGGUCAAUAAGGCCCUGGUCAAUAGAAGUGUCCUCUGUAGGGAAUAGGGUGCAAUUUCAGAUGCAGUCUGGUCGAGGAGUUGACAUCUCAAAUCAAAUUUCAGGACUCAUACUCACAAAAUUUCUGAGUACGAGUGCUGAUCUAGGAUCAGGUCCCCCUUGUCUAUAUAAUGUUUGUUUUAAGCAAUCAGGCACGAGCGGGUGUGGUAUACGGCCAAUAUUCUGCGGCUAUGGGCUGUUCUUAUGCGCAACGAGGAGGGCAUGGAUACAGCCCUUAGCCGUGGUAUACUGUCCAUAUUCCACAAACCCCCGAGGUGCUUAAUUGCUAUUAUAAACUGAUUAUCAACGUAAUUACAACAGUAAAAAAUAAAUGUUUUGUCAUAACCGUGGUGUACGGUCUGAUAUACCACGGAUGUCAGCCAAUCAGCAUUCAGGGCUUGAACCACGCAGCUUAUCUGAUUUUUAAAUGUCAAAACUGACUGUAGAUCAGCUGUGGUGCUCUGAGGCCCUUUUGAGUACAAGCCCUGCUCUCUGUUAAACAGUGAUCUCUCUCUCCAUUCUACCCUGGCUCGGUGUACAGAAAGCAUCUGUUUGCAUCCCAAAUGGCACUCUAUUCCCUACAUGGGGCUCUGGUCAAGAGUAGUGCACUAAAUAGGGAAUAGGGUGUUAUUUGGGACUCGCCCUAUGUAUUAUAACAGGUGUAUUCUCUUCAUAUUUUUUGUUUUCUUAUUGCUUUGUGUGUAUUUGUACGGUUUUGUAUCUGUUCUAACAGCUGAAGGAUCUCAAUGACUUUUACACCACUCUGUUUUCCAACAACUUUCUCUGUGCUUUUUGAGAAACAAUUAAACAGGUCAUUUAUCAGUUGUUUUUUUUGUAGGGCAACAAGUUGUAUUGGAAAAGGUAUUUUUGUAUGUAUUGUCUAUCACCUUUAAACGAGACCAUUAAAUCCAUAAAACCCCUA